CCUACGGGUGGCAGCAGUGGGGAAUAUUGCACAAUGGGGGAAACCCUGAUGCAGCGACGCCGCGUGAAGGAUGAUGUAUUUCGGUAUGUAAACUUCUAUCAGCCGGGAAGAAAAUGACGGUACCUGACUAAGAAGCCCCGGCUAACUACGUGCCAGCAGCCGCGGUAUUAGGUAGGGGGCAAGCGUUAUCCGGAUUUACUGGGUGUAAAGGGAGCUUAGACGGCAUGGCAAGUCUGAUGGUAAAACCCGGGGCUAAACGCCGGGACUGCAAUGGAAACUGUCAGGCUAGAGUGUCGGAGAGGCAAGUGGAAUUCGUGGUGUAGCGGUGAAAUGCGUAGAUAUUAGGAGGAACACCAGUGGCGAAGGCGGCUUGCUGAACGAUGACUGACGUUGAGGCUCGAAAGCGUGGGGAGCAAACAGGAUUAGAUACCCUAGUAGUC
rnacentral:rRNA from 1 species